rnacentral:rRNA from 1 species
CAUAGGUUAAUGAGGCGAACCGGGGGAACUGAAACAUCUAAGUACCCCGAGGAAAAGAAAUCAACCGAGAUUCCCCCAGUAGCGGCGAGCGAACGGGGAGCAGCCCAGAGCCUGAAUCAGUGUGUGUGUUAGUGGAAGCGUCUGGAAAGGCGCGCGAUACAGGGUGACAGCCCCGUACACAAAAAUGCACAUACUGUGAGCUCGAUGAGUAGGGCGGGACACGUGGUAUCCUGUCUGAAUAUGGGGGGACCAUCCUCCAAGGCUAAAUACUCCUGACUGACCGAUAGUGAACCAGUACCGUGAGGGAAAGGCGAAAAGAACCCCGGCGAGGGGAGUGAAAAAGAACCUGAAACCGUGUACGUACAAGCAGUGGGAGCACGCUUAGGCGUGUGACUGCGUACCUUUUGUAUAAUGGGUCAGCGACUUAUAUUCUGUAGCAAGGUUAACCGAAUAGGGGAGCCGAAGGGAAACCGAGUCUUAACUGGGCGUUAAGUUGCAGGGUAUAGACCCGAAACCCGGUGAUCUAGCCAUGGGCAGGUUGAAGGUUGGGUAACACUAACUGGAGGACCGAACCGACUAAUGUUGAAAAAUUAGCGGAUGACUUGUGGCUGGGGGUGAAAGGCCAAUCAAACCGGGAGAUAGCUGGUUCUCCCCGAAAGCUAUUUAGGUAGCGCCUCGUGAAUUCAUCUCCGGGGGUAGAGCACUGUUUCGGCAAGGGGGUCAUCCCGACUUACCAACCCGAUGCAAACUGCGAAUACCGGAGAAUGUUAUCACGGGAGACACACGGCGGGUGCUAACGUCCGUCGUGAAGAGGGAAACAACCCAGACCGCCAGCUAAGGUCCCAAAGUCAUGGUUAAGUGGGAAACGAUGUGGGAAGGCCCAGACAGCCAGGAUGUUGGCUUAGAAGCAGCCAUCAUUUAAAGAAAGCGUAAUAGCUCACUGGUCGAGUCGGCCUGCGCGGAAGAUGUAACGGGGCUAAACCAUGCACCGAAGCUGCGGCAGCGACGCUGAUGCGUUGUUGGGUAGGGGAGCGUUCUGUAAGCCUGUGAAGGUGUGCUGUGAGGCAU